AUGAACGCUGGCGGCGUGCCUAAUACAUGCAAGUCGAGCGAACAGACGAGGAGCUUGCUCCUCUGACGUUAGCGGCGGACGGGUGAGUAACACGUGGAUAACCUACCUAUAAGACUGGGAUAACUUCGGGAAACCGGAGCUAAUACCGGAUAAUAUAUUGAACCGCAUGGUUCAAUAGUGAAAGGCGGUUUUGCUGUCACUUAUAGAUGGAUCCGCGCCGCAUUAGCUAGUUGGUAAGGUAACGGCUUACCAAGGCGACGAUGCGUAGCCGACCUGAGAGGGUGAUCGGCCACACUGGAACUGAGACACGGUCCAGACUCCUACGGGAGGCAGCAGUAGGGAAUCUUCCGCAAUGGGCGAAAGCCUGACGGAGCAACGCCGCGUGAGUGAUGAAGGUCUUCGGAUCGUAAAACUCUGUUAUUAGGGAAGAACAAAUGUGUAAGUAACUAUGCACGUCUUGACGGUACCUAAUCAGAAAGCCACGGCUAACUACGUG
rnacentral:rRNA from 1 species